UACGUAGGGCGCAAGCGUUGUCCGGAAUUAUUGGGCGUAAAGAGCUCGUAGGCGGCUUGUCACGUCUGCUGUGAAAUCCCGGGCUCAACCCCCAGCCUGCAGUGGGUACGGGCAGACUAGAGUGCGGUAGGGGAGAUUGGAAUUCCUGGUGUAGCGGUGGAAUGCGCAGAUAUCAGGAGGAACACCGAUGGCGAAGGCAGAUCUCUGGGCCGUAACUGACGCUGAGGAGCGAAAGCAUGGGGAGCGAACAGG
rnacentral:rRNA from 1 species